GGAUGUGAGGGCAACUUGGCUGUGACAUCUGUCACCCUAUUGAUUGUCAGGGUUGGUUUGACUUAUUUGGCUUUCUAGGUGAAUGUCCCCUUCUUCCCUCACUACUCCAAGUGUGUCCCAAAGCUAUGUGACUGGUCAAAGGAGAUUUUUCCCUGUGCAUCAUUUGGGUUUCAGGGCAAAUAAUCAGCUGUGUUCUUAGGAAAAAUAAUUCAUUUGGCCACCA
rnacentral:sRNA from 1 species